AGCGGGGAGGGGUGGGCGCUGCACUGGAGCCUUUUCUCUACGGGAGCCGGGUCGCCACUCUCCUCUGAGCCUGGGAGCAUCCCUUCAUCCCUGUUUAUUCCACCAUCGGAGAGACCGGUGUUCCGUGUCGGAACCCGCGGUCUGCUGGUGGAGAGCCUCCAGCGCCAGGAGACACGGCCUGCGAGUGGUAACUUCAUGUUUCUGAAAAAGCACGCCCGCACCCUGCCCCUCAUCCACUUUUCAUGGACCACACGGACUCGCCCAGAGAGGCCGUCUCAGCGGUGAGGGUCCUGGCCUAGGCCGUCAGCACCAUGUCACGGGGGGCUGCCCUCGGACCUGCGUGAAGACAGAGGCUCCAAGUCUUGCCGUGGGGCAGAGCAUGAUGGGAGCACAGCGCAGACCCAGCUGCGGGUCUGCUCCGCAGGCCUGGUUCUAGCUUCGCCGUCUGGAGCAGAGGUCAUCGGUGGCCUUUAGGCACUCAUCCCUCUGAGACUCAGUUUGCUGGUUCUGUGGAGUGGGCAUGGUGGCUGGUGCCCCUGAGCCUUUGUCUAGGAUCCUACUCGUACGUGAGAUGUGAGCGCACAAAGCCAAGACCAG
rnacentral:lncRNA from 1 species